ensembl:lncRNA
GGAAGGCUUGCGCAUUGCGUGUGCGUGGGGGCAAAGAAUAGUUUACGGAGCGGAAUCGGCGCCCGCCCGCCUUCUGGGCGUGGCACCUGCCAGCCCUUUCAUUGGAGGAUUGCAGCAAUCCUGCUUGCUACCUCCCUCAGCAGAGGAGGAGACUGAGGGUCCGAGAGGUGAAGGGGCCGGCUCCCAGGCACACUGUAAGAGCCAGAGGGCAGCCCUGGGCAAGGAGCAGAAGAGCCAGAAAGAGGGAAGGAGCCCUUUGAGGCAGGUCCUGCAGAGAUCCACACUCAGAGAUAUUGGCCCGCUUCGCUUCCUUAGUCACAUAGCUACAAUGAGGAAUGGCCAGGGCAGCUGAGCGGGCACAGAUCCUACCCUGGCCUGGGAAGUCAAAUUGGAUCCUCAAAGUCCUCCAGGCCCUUGCACAUAUGCAAUGGGGGCCAGCCUGGGAGUCCUGGCAGGGCUGGGACCAUGUCUGACUUUCCCCCUGCAUCUCCAGAGAGCAGCACAGAGCUGGACACAGAGCUUGGCACUGGGUAAAGAGAUUCUUCUUAGAGGUGGAAGAGGCAAGUCCAAACUUGUUUCCCAUAAGGGAGAGAAGCUGUCCACCCACCCAUCCAUCCGUCCAGUUAUCUACCUAAUCCUCCCAUCCAUUUACUCCCCCCGCCCCCCUUCACAAUUCCCAUCUAUCCAGUAUCUUCUGAUUGUAUUCUGGGCUAGGCUUUGUGCUGAGAGCUGAAGACUCUACAGAUGAGUCAAAUAACUCCCCUGCUCUCCAACAGCCCAUAGUGGGAUAGAAAAAGAUGAUGCAAAUAGACUAUAAAAACUAAACAUGUAAAUGCCAUGUUGAGACACAUCAGGAGCUGUGGACCACAGAAGAGGUCCUCACUCAGUCAUUGUAGGGAACAGGGGAAGGGGACAUUACCAGAACCUCUGCAGUGAGUCCUGGUCUCCUGCGAGCCACGGCAGCACACGGCGAAUUACAGGAAAGGUAAAAAAAUGAGACUGAGAAGAAGCUGAGCUUUGGGUCUGAUCAGUGCCGCUCUGGGCAGCAAAGACGAAAGUGGCCCCCCGCCCCAGUACAUCGGGAGAAACAAAGUGUAACAAAUGACUUGCAGAGAGUUCAGUACAUCCUGCGUAAAUAAGAUGUAACAAUCCAAGCACAAGGAGGAACUGAGUAGAUGUUUGUUCCUCCCAGGAUGUUUUCAGCUCCCAGGAUGUUUCUUGGGCUGGAGAAUCUCAGCAUCACCGGAUCACUGAGGUCUCAGUUGUGACCGGAGGGCAAAAUGGAGUUAUGUCUCAGAAUUCCAUAGCUGGGUUAUAGGCAGGAGAACUAGGCUAACCAAAUGAUUUUCCCGUGAAAUUAUGUAGCAUUGCUCCCGACAAGUCAUGGGGUCAGAGAGGCUUCCUGGAGCAAGUGACGCUUGGGUUGAUCUUAAAGAACAAGAGGCAAUAGCAAGGCAGAAAGAGUCAGAGUUAAGGGCCAGAAUGUGCAAAGGCCCGGAGAUGUGGCAAAUCAUGUCACAUUGUUUGGCAAACUGUGUGUGCUGGAAAAGGCAGAGGUGGUAGAGUAGAGUGGGAGAGAAGUCAAAGAUAGGGUCCAACGAAGAUGUCUUGACCUGUUGCAGGUUCUUCUGGAAGUGGACAGGGAGGGAGUACUGAUGGAGGCCUUCCAGAGACAGUGUUAGGCAGCUGACACCAGAUCGGAGUGAGUGCAUACUGAGAGCAGGCUUCUUGGGUGCAAGGCCAAAGAGGCUUUGAUUCAGGCCUGCUUGCUGACCAGGUGAGCAUUAGCAGGCUGAGGCCCCAACUGUGGAGCCUGGCGGAUGGGUCAGGCUUCUGAGCCUCAGUCUCCCAUGGCCCAGCUGAGGAGCUGUCAUUUGCUGGUUGAGGCUGCCGAUGCUCCUUCCCUUUCCCUUACAGGAUGACUCCAAAUGGCCAUUCUAGCUUUCUCCAGUUCAGUCCAGGCAGGGUGAUUGUCUAAAACACAGUCCCCAAUGCAUCACUCACUGCUUGUGUAUAAAAGCCUACAGUUCUUAAUAAAGCAUUAAAAAAUACCACACUUUUAAAACAUUCUCUGCCUCCCAUCCAUCCAUCCAUCCUUCCACCCUUCUAUCCUUUCUUGCUUCUUACCCUCACUCUCUCCUACUUCUUUUUUUCUCCUCCUGUUCAGUCUCUCCAAAUGCCAACCUCCUUUCUUGUGUCUGAGGGGCAGGCUCUUCCUUUGUCCAGUGAGGGGUGGUGGUGGUGGUGGGGCUGUUGCUCUUCUUUGCUCUUUAUGGGAUAAAGAAUUCAUAGUUUGUUUCCGUGUCUGUCUGUUGCCCAGUGUCCUACCCCCACUCCACCAGGGUGGCUUCUUUGUACAUUGUUUAGGUUGUGCACUGCACAAUACCCAGCUGAAGGACGUGCCCUGAGCAGACUAUAUCUGCUCAGAAGGAAGAAUGCUUUUUCCCCCUAAUCUACAAAGGCAUCUGCUGCCCAAGUGAUGGGCUCAAUUGGCCGAGUCUAUUUCAAGCAGGCAUCUUUUCUGUUUCUCCACCUAAGGUUCUUUGAGCCUAGUGAUGGCCAUACCCUGAUCCAAGUUCCUGAAGCUCAGGACCACUUUGGUUCCAACCCUCCAGCAAUUAACACAACAGUGGCAGGCCCCAGAGACCUGCAGGAAUGUUCGGAAAGGGGAAGACUGAGUAGCAAGUCUUGGUUCCCUGGGCCUUGAGGGUAUGCUACGACUCAUGCUUGCCUUGUAGGGGGACCAGGCUUCUGACAGUGUGACUGCAGGUUUGUUUGGAAAUUCCCCAGUAAGUGGUGAUUUUUUUGUCUCCUGGGGACCUCAAGAGCUCACUGGAGGACCCACAGACCAGGGCUCCUCCAAAUAUUGUUUUAAACUGAUUGAUGCCAUGCCAGGCAGAGAAGGGACAGGCAUUUUUCAUACAUGAAAAACAAUACAUUCUAGGGCCAAGACAAAAUUAUUUCACGUUUGUAUGAUAACAGGCAGGGAGACAAAGAUGAUGUUUAAGGACAUUUAAACCUCAAAAUCAUUAGUCACUGUCCCAGCGGGCUACACAAAUAAAUGAUCAAUGCACAGAAAAACAAGGCCC